UAGGGAAUAUUAGAAAUGGCCGCAAGUCUGAUCUAGCAACACCGCGUGUGCGAAGAAGGCCUUCGGGUUGUAAAGCACUUUUUGGAAGGAUUAGGAAGGAAUGUACUUCCAGAAUAAGUCUCGGCUAACUACGUGCCAGCAGCCGCGGUAACACGUAGGAGGCAAACGUUAUCCGGAUUUACUGGGCGUACAGCGCGUGUAGGUGGUACUGUACGUAGGGCGUGAAAGCUCCUGGCUCAACUGGGAGAGGCCGUUCUAAACUGCAGAGCUAGAGGAUUGUAGAGGGUGGUGGAAUUCCGGGUGUAGCGGCGGAAUGCGCAGAUAUCCGGAGGAACACCAGUGGCGAAAGCGGCCUCCUGGACCAUUCCUGACACUCAGACGCGAAAGCUAGGGUAGCAAACG
rnacentral:rRNA from 1 species